rnacentral:sRNA from 2 species
GAGAGAGCGUUGCCGCAGGCAACGACCCGAAGGGCGAAGCGCGCAGCGCUGAGUAAUCCUUCCCCCACCACCA